rnacentral:rRNA from 1 species
UACGUAGGGACCGAGCGUUGUCCGGAUUCAUUGGGCGUAAAGAGCUCGUAGGCGGCUGCUCAAGUCGAAUGUGAAAACUCGAGGCUCAACCUCGAGCCUGCAUUCGAUACUGGGCGGCUAGAGUCUGGUAGGGGGAUCUGGAAUUCCUGGUGUAGCGGUGGAAUGCGUAGAUAUCGUAAGGAAGACCAGUGGCGAAGGCGAGUCUCUGGACAGUUACUGACACUGAGGCACGAAGGCCAGGGGAGCAAACGGG